rnacentral:rRNA from 1 species
UACCUCCAGAGGAAGCCCCCGCUAACUCUGUGCCAGCACCCGCGGUAAUACAGAGGGGGCGAGCGUUGUUCUGAAUUACUGGGCGUAAAGAGCGCGUAGGCGUUCUGUCAAGUCUCAUGGGAGAUCUCCGGGCUCUACCCGCGAGCUGCGUCCGAAACUGGCAGGCUGGAGUGUGCGAGAGAGAUGAGGAAUUUCGGGAGUAGCGGGGAAAAAUUUAGAUAUCUGGA